GGGCCAGUGGCGCAAUGGAUAACGUGUCUGACUACGGAUCAGAAGGUUCUAGGUUCGACUCCUGGCUGGCUCG
rnacentral:tRNA from 2 species